GUCUAUGGCCGUGCUACCCUGAACACGCCUGAUCCCAUCUGAUCUCAGAAGCUAAACAGGGUUGGGCCUGGUUAGUACUUGGAUGGAAGACCACCCAGGAAGAUCAGGUGCUGUAGGCA
rfam:Pteropus alecto contig11328, whole genome shotgun sequence.